UCGAGAAUCAUUCGCAAUGGGCGAAAGCCUGACGGUGCGACGCCGCGUGGAGGAUGACAGCUCUAGGGUUGUAAACUCCUGUCAUGAGAGAGUAAAGGCUUGCCGUUAAUAGCGGUCGGGUCCUGAUAGUAUCUCAAGAGGAAGGGACGGCUAACUUCGUGCCAGCAGCCGCGGUAAUACGAAGGUCCCAAGCGUUGUUCGGAAUCACUGGGCGUAAAGCGUGCGUAGGCGGCACGGUAAGUCAGAUGUGAAAGCCCGGGGCUCAACCCCGGAACUGCAUCCGAUACUGCCGAGCUAGAGUAGUGGAGGGGAGUCUGGAAUUCACGGUGUAGCAGUGAAAUGCGUAGAUAUCGUGAGGAACACUAGUGGCGAAGGCGAGACUCUGGACACUAACUGACGCUGAGGCACGAAGGCUAGGGUAGCGAAAGGGAUUAGAUACCCCCGUAGUCC
rnacentral:rRNA from 1 species